UCCCUGAUGGUCCAGUGGUUAAGAAUCUGCCUUGCAAUGCAGAGGACCCAGGUUCAAUCCCUUGUCUGGGAA
rnacentral:tRNA from 1 species